AUUGAACGCUGGCGGCAGGCCUAACACAUGCAAGUCGAGCGGCAGCACGGGUACUUGUACCUGGUGGCGAGCGGCGGACGGGUGAGUAAUGCCUAGGAAUCUGCCUAGUAGUGGGGGAUAACGUUCGGAAACGGACGCUAAUACCGCAUACGUCCUACGGGAGAAAGUGGGGGAUCUUCGGACCUCACGCUAUUAGAUGAGCCUAGGUCGGAUUAGCUAGUUGGUAGGGUAAAGGCCUACCAAGGCUACGAUCCGUAACUGGUCUGAGAGGAUGAUCAGUCACACUGGAACUGAGACACGGUCCAGACUCCUACGGGAGGCAGCAGUGGGGAAUAUUGGACAAUGGGCGAAAGCCUGAUCCAGCCAUGCCGCGUGUGUGAAGAAGGCCUGCGGGUUGUAAAGCCCUUUCAGUGGGGAAGAAAGCCUCGACCUAACACGUCGGGGUCUUGACGUAACCCAUAGAAGAAGCACCGGCUAACUCUGUGCCAGCAGCAGCCGCCGUAAU
rnacentral:rRNA from 1 species